GGCUCAGGACGAACGCUGGCGGCGUGCCUAAUACAUGCAAGUAGAACGCUGAAGAGAGGAGCUUGCUCUUCUUGGAUGAGUUGCGAACGGGUGAGUAACGCGUAGGUAACCUGCCUUGUAGCGGGGGAUAACUAUUGGAAACGAUAGCUAAUACCGCAUAACAAUGGAUGACACAUGUCAUUUAUUUGAAAGGGGCAAUUGUUCCACUACAAGAUGGACCUGCGUUGUAUUAGCUAGUAGGUGAGGUAAUGGCUCACCUAGGCGACGAUACAUAGCCGACCUGAGAGGGUGAUCGGCCACACUGGGACUGAGACACGGCCCAGACUCCUACGGGAGGCAGCAGUAGGGAAUCUUCGGCAAUGGGGGCAACCCUGACCGAGCAACGCCGCGUGAGUGAAGAAGGUUUUCGGAUCGUAAAGCUCUGUUGUAAGUCAAGAACGGGUGUGAGAGUGGAAAGUUCACACUGUGACGGUAGCUUACCAGAAAGGGACGGCUAACUACGUGCCAGCAGCCGCGGUAAUACGUAGGUCCCGAGCGUUGUCCGGAUUUAUUGGGCGUAAAGCGAGCGCAGGCGGUUUGAUAAGUCUGAAGUUAAAGGCUGUGGCUCAACCAUAGUUCGCUUUGGAAACUGUCAAACUUGAGUGCAGAAGGGGAGAGUGGAAUUCCAUGUGUAGCGGUGAAAUGCGUAGAUAUAUGGAGGAACACCGGUGGCGAAAGCGGCUCUCUGGUCUGUAACUGACGCUGAGGCUCGAAAGCGUGGGGAGCGAACAGGAUUAGAUACCCUGGUAGUCCACGCCGUAAACGAUGAGUGCUAGGUGUUGGAUCCUUUCCGGGAUUCAGUGCCGCAGCUAACGCAUUAAGCACUCCGCCUGGGGAGUACGACCGCAAGGUUGAAACUCAAAGGAAUUGACGGGGGCCCGCACAAGCGGUGGAGCAUGUGGUUUAAUUCGAAGCAACGCGAAGAACCUUACCAGGUCUUGACAUCCCGAUGCUAUUUCUAGAGAUAGAAAGUUACUUCGGUACAUCGGUGACAGGUGGUGCAUGGUUGUCGUCAGCUCGUGUCGUGAGAUGUUGGGUUAAGUCCCGCAACGAGCGCAACCCCUAUUGUUAGUUGCCAUCAUUCAGUUGGGCACUCUAGCGAGACUGCCGGUAAUAAACCGGAGGAAGGUGGGGAUGACGUCAAAUCAUCAUGCCCCUUAUGACCUGGGCUACACACGUGCUACAAUGGUUGGUACAACGAGUUGCGAGUCGGUGACGGCGAGCUAAUCUCUUAAAGCCAAUCUCAGUUCGGAUUGUAGGCUGCAACUCGCCUACAUGAAGUCGGAAUCGCUAGUAAUCGCGGAUCAGCACGCCGCGGUGAAUACGUUCCCGGGCCUUGUACACACCGCCCGUCACACCACGAGAGUUUGUAACACCCGAAGUCGGUGAGGUAACCUUUUGGAGCCAGCCGCCUAAGGUGGGACAGAUGAUUGGGGUGAAGUCGUAACAA
rnacentral:rRNA from 1 species